rnacentral:rRNA from 1 species
UUUUCCUACGGGGGGCAGCAGUGGGGGAUAUUGCACAAUGGGGGGAACCCUGAUGCAGCGACGCCGCGUGGGUGAAGAAGUAUUUCGGUAUGUAAAGCCCUAUCGGCAGGGAAGAAUUUAGACGGUACCUGACUAAGAAGCCCCGGCUAACUACGUGCCAGCAGCCGCGGGAAUACGUAGGGGGCAAGCGUUAUCCGGAUUCACUGGGUGUAAAGGGAGCGUAGACGGCCAUGCAAGCCUUGAGUGAAAGACC